GGUUAAGCGACUAAGCGUACACGGUGGAUGCCUAGGCAAUCAGAGGCGAUGAAGGACGUGCUAAUCUGCGAAAAGCGUCGGUAAGGUGAUAUGAACCGUUAUAACCGACGAUGUCCGAAUGGGGAAACCCAGUGCAAUUCGUUGCACUAUCGUUUGAUGAAUCCAUAGUCAAACGAGGCGAACCGGGGGAACUGAAACAUCUCAGUACCCCGAGGAAAAGAAAUCAACCGAGAUUCCCCUAGUAGCGGCGAGCGAACGGGGAGCAGCCCAGAGUCUUAAUCAGCAUCAGCAUCAGGAGAACGGUCUGGAAAGGCCGGCAAUAAAGGGUGAUAGCCCCGUAUCCGAAGGUGUUGGUGUUGUGAACUCGAUGAGUAGGGCGGGACACGUGUUAUCCUGUCUGAAUAUGGGGGGACCAUCCUCCAAGGCUAAAUACUCCUGAUUGACCGAUAGUGAACCAGUACCGUGAGGGAAAGGCGAAAAGAACCCCGGCGAGGGGAGUGAAAUAGAACCUGAAACCGUGUACGUACAAGCAGUGGGAGCCUUGAUUUAUCAGGGUGACUGCGUACCUUUUGUAUAAUGGGUCAGCGACUUAUAUUCUGUAGCAAGGUUAACCGAAUAGGGGAGCCGUAGGGAAACCGAGUCUUAACUGGGCGAAUGAGUUGCAGGGUAUAGACCCGAAACCCGGUGAUCUAGCCAUGGGCAGGUUGAAGGUUGGGUAACACUAACUGGAGGACCGAACCGACUAAUGUUGAAAAAUUAGCGGAUGACUUGUGGCUGGGGGUGAAAGGCCAAUCAAACCGGGAGAUAGCUGGUUCUCCCCGAAAGCUAUUUAGGUAGCGCCUCGUGAACUCAUCUUCGGGGGUAGAGCACUGUUUCGGCUAGGGGGUCAUCCCGACUUACCAACCCGAUGCAAACUACGAAUACCGAAGAAUGUUAUCACGGGAGACACACGGCGGGUGCUAACGUUCGUCGUGAAGAGGGAAACAACCCAGACCGCCAGCUAAGGUCCCAAAGUCAUGGUUAAGUGGGAAACGAAGUGGGAAGGCUCAGACAGCCAGGAUGUUGGCUUAGAAGCAGCCAUCAUUUAAAGAAAGCGUAAUAGCUCACUGGUCGAGUCGGCCUGCGCGGAAGAUGUAACGGGGCUAAACCAUGCACCGAAGCUGCGGCAGCGACAUGUAAAUGUUGUUGGGUAGGGGAGCGUUCUGUAAGCCUGUGAAGGUGUGCUGCGAGGCAUGCUGGAGGUAUCAGAAGUGCGAAUGCUGACAUAAGUAACGAUAAUGCGGGUGAAAAACCCGCACGCCGGAAGACCAAGGGUUCCUGUCCAACGUUAAUCGGGGCAGGGUGAGUCGACCCCUAAGGCGAGGCAGAAAUGCGUAGUCGAUGGGAAACAGGUUAAUAUUCCUGUACUGGUGAUAAUUGCGAUGGGGGGACGGAGAAGGCUAGGCUGGCCGGGCGACGGUUGUCCCGGUUUAAGGAUGUAGGUGGGCGAAUUAGGCAAAUCCGGUUCGCUAUACACUGAGGUCUGAUGACGAGUCACUACGGUGGCGAAGUAGCUCAUGCCCCGCUUCCAGGAAAAGCCUCUAAGCUCUAGAUUAUCAUUAAUCGUACCCCAAACCGACACAGGUGGUCAGGUAGAGAAUACUCAGGCGCUUGAGAGAACUCGGGUGAAGGAACUAGGCAAAAUGGUGCCGUAACUUCGGGAGAAGGCACGCUGGCAUUAGGUGAAGUCCCUUGCGGAUGGAGCUGAAGCCAGUCGCAGAUACCAGCUGGCUGCAACUGUUUAUUAAAAACACAGCACUGUGCAAACACGAAAGUGGACGUAUACGGUGUGACGCCUGCCCGGUGCUGGAAGGUUAAUUGAUGGGGUUAUCCGUAAGGAGAAGCUCUUGAUCGAAGCCCCAGUAAACGGCGGCCGUAACUAUAACGGUCCUAAGGUAGCGAAAUUCCUUGUCGGGUAAGUUCCGACCUGCACGAAUGGCGUAAUGAUGGCCAGGCUGUCUCCACCCGAGACUCAGUGAAAUUGAACUCGCUGUGAAGAUGCAGUGUACCCGCGGCAAGACGGAAAGACCCCGUGAACCUUUACUAUAGCUUGACACUGAACAUUGAGCCUUGAUGUGUAGGAUAGGUGGGAGGCUUUGAAGUGUGGACGCCAGUCUGCAUGGAGCCAACCUUGAAAUACCACCCUUUAAUGUUUGAUGUUCUAACGUUGCCCCGUGAUCCGGGGUGCGGACAGUGUCUGGUGGGUAGUUUGACUGGGGCGGUCUCCUCCCAAAGCGUAACGGAGGAGCACGAAGGUUGGCUAAGCAUGGUCGGACAUCAUGCGGUUAGUGCAAAGGCAUAAGCCAGCUUGACUGCGAGAGUGACGGCUCGAGCAGGUACGAAAGUAGGUCUUAGUGAUCCGGUGGUUCUGAAUGGAAGGGCCAUCGCUCAACGGAUAAAAGGUACUCCGGGGAUAACAGGCUGAUACCGCCCAAGAGUUCAUAUCGACGGCGGUGUUUGGCACCUCGAUGUCGGCUCAUCACAUCCUGGGGCUGAAGUAGGUCCCAAGGGUAUGGCUGUUCGCCAUUUAAAGUGGUACGCGAGCUGGGUUUAGAACGUCGUGAGACAGUUCGGUCCCUAUCUGCCGUGGGCGUUGGAAGAUUGAAAGGGGCUGCUCCUAGUACGAGAGGACCGGAGUGGACGCACCGCUGGUGUUCGGGUUGUCAUGCCAAUGGCACUGCCCGGUAGCUAAGUGCGGAAGAGAUAACCGCUGAAAGCAUCUAAGCGGGAAACUUGCCUUGAGAUGAGUCUUCCCUGACUCUUUAAGGGUCCUAAAGGAACGUUUAAGACGAAGACGUUGAUAGGCUGGGUGUGUAAGCGUAGCGAUACGUUGAGCUAACCAGUACUAAUGAACCGUGAGGCUUAACCUG
rnacentral:rRNA from 1 species